CCACCCCCCGGCAGACACCACUGGUUCCCCCUCCAACACCGCCUCCCUCGUCUCCGGCGACGGCGUUGGCCCCCACCCCGAUGGAUCAGCCCAACCCCAAGGCCCCCACGACUCCACCUCCUCUGCCCCCGCCGUCGUCUCAAUCCCCAACCACGGAGGAGAAGCCCGCUGCACCCGCCCUCGCAGCCCCCGACGCGGCGCCGCCGCGCCCGGAGAAAAAGCGGAAGCGCAAGAGCAAGAGCAAGGCCAACACGAAGAAGAUCAAGAGGAAGAAGAAGCGCGCCGACGGGGCCGCCUCCGCACCCCAUGUUGUGGAGGGGUUCAGCAUGUUCAAGGGGGCGGAGGCGAAGGAGGCGGUUGAGGAGCUUGUGGAGGUGGUGGUUAGGGAGGGCGAGGACGAGGCCGUCGUGAGGCGUCAGAAGGAGGCAGCAGCGCAACAGCCUCUGCAUCUACGGCAUCCGCUAUAAAUGAAUUUCGUUUGGAGGAUACUCUAGCAGAUUAAAUCCUGCAAGCUCCCAACUCCCCCAAGCAACCUCGGCUCAGCGAGACCUGCAAGAAACAAACACCGGGCGGCGGCAGGCAGGCGAUCUUGGGAAGCGCGAUGGCGGCCAAGGGGACGACCGAGAUGGAGGUGGGCGGCGACGGCGUCGCCGUCAUCACCAUCUGCAACCCGCCAGUCAACUCCCUCUCCAUCGAUGUACUGCUAAGCUUAAAGCAAAGCUAUGAAGAAGCUCUUCAGAGGAAGGAUGUCAAAGCUAUUGUUGUUACAGGGAAAGGAGGAAAAUUUUCUGGAGGAUUCGAUAUUAGUUCCUUUGGUGAUCUUCACAGCGGAAAAAUUGAGCAGCCAAAGGUUGGUUACGUAUCAAUUGACAUUCUCACUGAACUUCUGGAAGGAGCAACAAAGCCAUCAGUGGCUGCAAUUGAUGGUCUUUGUCUUGGCGGAGGAUUAGAAGUUUCCAUGGCAUGCCAUGCACGUAUUUCAACUCCCACUACUCAAUUAGGCCUUGCAGAACUUCAACUUGGGAUAAUUCCAGGAUUUGGAGGAACGCAGCGACUCCCACGUCUUGUUGGACUGGCAAAGUCACUUGAAAUGAUGUUACUAUCCAAGCCAAUUAAGGGCGAAGAGGCACACCAACUGGGUCUUGUUGAUGCCUUGGUUUCUCCUAAUUAUUUGGUGAAUAGUGCUCGUCGUUUGGCUUUGGAUAUCUGUGAGCUCAGAAAGCCAUGGAUCAAAAGCCUUUACUAGACCGACAAAGUGGAACCCCUUGGUGAGGCUAGGGAGAUUCUCAAGUUUGCAAGGGCUCAAGCUCGAAAGAAGGCUGCAAAUCUUGAACACCCACUUAUUUGUAUCGAUGUCAUUGAAGAAGGUAUAGUUUCAGGACCUCGAGCUGGGCUCUGGAAGGAAGGAAACGCAUUCCAAGGCCUUCUUUUCUCAGAUACAUGUAAAAGCUUACUUCAUGUAUUCUUCUCUCAGCGUGCAACAUCAAAGGUUCCUGGUGCUACAGACUUGGGUUUGAUGCCUAGAAAAAUAAUGAAAGUCGCCAUUCUAGGUGGUGGGUUAUGGGUUCUGGAAUUGCUACCGCAAUGAUACUGAGUAACUAUCUUGUGCUGCUGAAAGAAGUAGAUGAGAAAUUUCUGAAUGCUGGAAUUGACAGGAUCAAAGCCAAUUUGCAGAGUCGUGUGAGGAAAGGAAAAAUGACAGAGGAGAGAUACGAGAAGGCUUUGUCUCUUCUCAAUGGUUCCCUUGGUUAUGAAAAGUUCAAAGAAGUGGACUUAGUUAUCGAGGCGGUUAUUGAGAAUGUGAAGUUGAAGCAGCAAAUAUUUGCGAACUUGGAGAAGUACUGCCCUUCCCAUUGCAUCCUUGCUACCAACACAUCUACAAUUGAUCUUAAUCUAAUUGGAGAGGAAACAAAGUCCCAAGACCGUAUUGUUGGUGCACACUUCUUUAGGCUUGCAGAUCUUGUUGGUUUUGGUGUUGCUGUGGCUACUGGUAUGCAGUACCUUGAAAAUUUUCCGGACAGAGUCUACAAGUCCAUGCUAAUCCCUAUUAUGAUGGAGGACAAAAGAGCAGGCGAAGGCAGUCGGAAGGGAUUUUACAAGUACGAGGAUAAGAGGAAGGCAACUCCUGAUCCUAAAAUUAUGACGUAUAUUCAGAAAUCUAGGAGCAUGGCAGGAGUCACUCCAGACGCUGAGUUGAUGAAGCUAAGUGACAAGGACAAAGUUGAGAUGGUGUUCUUCCCGGUCAUAAACGAAGCGUGUCGUGUCCUUGAUGAGGGCAUUGCAGUAAAGGUGUCGGAUCUUGACAUCGCCUCAAUCUUUGGCAUGGGAUUCCCACCUUAUAGGGGAGGGGUCAUGUUGUGGGGAGAUUCCAUCGGCGCAAAAUACAUCCACGAAAAGUUACAGCAGUGAGCGAAGCGGUACGGCAGCUUCUUCGAGCCUUGCUCCUACCUCGCCGAAAGAGCGGCGAAAGGGAUUCCUCUGAGUGCACCGGCAGCAAGUCAGGUCAAGGCCCGACUAUAGAUGGUGGUAGGUCUGGUGUUUCUGUCAGCUGAAGGAAUUAUGUCACCGAGUAAUAAUGCGCGAUGAAGGUGGUGAUUAGUGGAGGGAGCUGAAUAAUAAUAACAACACGUGAGUUGUAUAUUAGGACGCACAGGAAAACGUAAUCAAUUGCGGUUGGACCCUUGAAUGAGGUUUAUGUAAUAUGUGCAAUUGAUUUUUACUCUUUUUUUUUGUUACACCCCGAAUCCGUCCUCAAACAGUGUGAAUGUCUAAACCUGAAUUUCUGGAA